rnacentral:rRNA from 1 species
AGAGUUUGAUCAUGGCUCAGAUUGAACGCUGGCGGCAGGCCUAACACAUGCAAGUCGAACGGUAACAGGAAGCAGCUUGCUGCUUUGCUGACGAGUGGCGGACGGGUGAGUAAUGUCUGGGAAACUGCCUGAUGGAGGGGGAUAACUACUGGAAACGGUAGCUAAUACCGCAUAACGUCGCAAGACCAAAGAGGGGGACCUUCGGGCCUCUUGCCAUCGGAUGUGCCCAGAUGGGAUUAGCUUGUUGGUGGGGUAACGGCUCACCAAGGCGACGAUCCCUAGCUGGUCUGAGAGGAUGACCAGCCACACUGGAACUGAGACACGGUCCAGACUCCUACGGGAGGCAGCAGUGGGGAAUAUUGCACAAUGGGCGCAAGCCUGAUGCAGCCAUGCCGCGUGUAUGAAGAAGGCCUUCGGGUUGUAAAGUACUUUCAGCGGGGAGGAAGGGAGUAAAGUUAAUACCUUUACUCAUUGACGUUACCCGCAGAAGAAGCACCGGCUAACUCCGUGCCAGCAGCCGCGGUAAUACGGAGGGUGCAAGCGUUAAUCGGAAUUACUGGGCGUAAAGCGCACGCAGGCGGUUUGUUAAGUCAGAUGUGAAAUCCCCGGGCUCAACCUGGGAACUGCAUCUGAUACUGGCAAGCUUGAGUCUCGUAGAGGGGGGUAGAAUUCCAGGUGUAGCGGUGAAAUGCGUAGAGAUCUGGAGGAAUACCGGUGGCGAAGGCGGCCCCCUGGACGAAGACUGACGCUCAGGUGCGAAAGCGUGGGGAGCAAACAGGAUUAGAUACCCUGGUAGUCCACGCCGUAAACGAUGUCGACUUGGAGGUUGUGCCCUUGAGGCGUGGCUUCCGGAGCUAACGCGUUAAGUCGACCGCCUGGGGAGUACGGCCGCAAGGUUAAAACUCAAAUGAAUUGACGGGGGCCCGCACAAGCGGUGGAGCAUGUGGUUUAAUUCGAUGCAACGCGAAGAACCUUACCUGGUCUUGACAUCCACAGAACCCUGUAGAGAUACGGGGGUGCCUUCGGGAACUGUGAGACAGGUGCUGCAUGGCUGUCGUCAGCUCGUGUUGUGAAAUGUUGGGUUAAGUCCCGCAACGAGCGCAACCCUUAUCCUUUGUUGCCAGCGGUCCGGCCGGGAACUCAAAGGAGACUGCCAGUGAUAAACUGGAGGAAGGUGGGGAUGACGUCAAGUCAUCAUGGCCCUUACGACCAGGGCUACACACGUGCUACAAUGGCGCAUACAAAGAGAAGCGACCUCGCGAGAGCAAGCGGAUCUCAUAAAGUGCGUCGUAGUCCGGAUUGGAGUCUGCAACUCGACUCCAUGAAGUCGGAAUCGCUAGUAAUCGUGGAUCAGAAUGCCACGGUGAAUACGUUCCCGGGCCUUGUACACACCGCCCGUCACACCAUGGGAGUGGGUUGCAAAAGAAGUAGGUAGCUUAACCUUCGGGAGGGCGCUUACCACUUUGUGAUUCAUGACUGGGGUGAAGUCGUAACAAGGUAACCGUAGGGGAACCUGCGGUUGGAUCACCU